GGUUGAUCCYGCCGGAGGUUACUGCUAUCGAGGUUCGACUAAGCCAUGCGAGUCGAAUGUAGCAAUACAUGGCGUACUGCUCAGUAACACGUGGACAACCUACCCUUAGGACGGGGAUAAACCCGGGAAACUGGGUAUAAUACCCGAUAGUCCUCGACUGCUGGAAUGCAUCGAGAACUAAAGCUCCGGCGCCUAAGGAUGGGUCUGCGGCCUAUCAGGUAGUAGUGGGUGUAGCGUACCUACUAGCCUACGACGGGUACGGGUUGUGAGAGCAAGAGCCCGGAGAUGGAUUCUGAGACACGAAUCCAGGCCCUACGGGGUGCAGCAGGCGCGAAAACUUUACAAUGCUGGAAACAGCGAUAAGGGGACCUCGAGUGCCAGGUUACAAAUCUGGCUGUCGUGAUGCCUAAAAAGCAUUGCAUAGCAAGGGCCGGGCAAGACCGGUGCCAGCCGCCGCGGUAACACCGGCGGCUCGAGUGGUAACCGUUAUUAUUGGGUCUAAAGGGUCUGUAGCCGGCCGGAUAAGUCUCUUGGGAAAUCUGGCAGCUUAACUGUCAGGCUUUCAGGAGAUACUGUCUGGCUCGAGGCCGGGAGAGGUGAGAGGUACUUCAGGGGUAGGGGUGAAAUCUUGUAAUCCUUGAAGGACCACCAGUGGCGAAGGCGUCUCACCAGAACGGACCUGACGGCAAGGGACGAAAGCUAGGGGCACGAACCGGAUUAGAUACCCGGGUAGUCCUAGCCGUAAACGAUACUCGCUAGGUGUCGGCCACGGUGCGACCGUUGUCGGUGCCGUAGGGAAGCCGUGAAGCGAGCCACCUGGGAAGUACGGCCGCAAGGCUGAAACUUAAAGGAAUUGGCGGGGGAGCACCACAACGGGUGGAGCUUGCGGUUUAAUUGGAUUCAACGCCGGG
rnacentral:rRNA from 1 species